UUUAAGGAGCUACAAUAGAAGAUAAAGACUGGAGAAAUACAUUGCUAGUGGAUUGGGACUCACUCUGCCUUUUUACCCUUUUCUUCAAAUCCCUCCUUAACUUUUGCCUGGAAACAGGGCAAUUUUUCACACAUAACAUGGCUUCAAUCUCUCAACAAAUGCUCCCAACUCACUCAAUUUCCGCUCUAUCCACACAAUUUACACAUCAAAACAUAGCUAUUUUCCUCACUGUCAUUAGUUAGUUUUCGUUAGUAGAUAGUUUUCCAGUUACACAAGGUUUUGUAACAGCAAGAAACGGUGGUUUUCACUUCUCAUUGUACACUAGAAAUUUAAGCUUUGUUCAUAGAGCUGGCGGUAGCCCACGUUUAGCUCAGCCAGUAGAGAAGGCGUUAGCGGUCCUGGUUCAAAACCUCCCAGCAGCAGUAUGUUUUGAGCACACACCUCAGCUUUUUUGCCUCUUUUCAGCAGACCAUUUGCAGCUACACCAGUCACUACUUUACAUCCUUUCUUUUUUGGUGGAUAUACCAGUGCUUACAGAGAUCUUCACCAGCAGCUCCCUCACAAGGAAAUCUUCCGAACUCCACUGUAGGCACGGCCCAGAAGAUGGAUAAACCCAGCAUUUCAUGAACACACUGGAACCAAUCUAUCUUCAUAACAGAGUGUUUUUCUAAACAUGGAGAAAAAAGAUGGAAGAAACCGAUCUGAAUUUCCCGUCUCCUGCCUCCGAUGAUCACUGUGACCUCAGAGGGCAACUGGUCUGAAAAGCUGGAACUGGAGUGAGGGAGAGAGGAGUCAUCAUCCAGCUUGAAAGAAAACAUCCGGCGUUUACCAGAGGGAAGGGGGGAAAACGUGAGUGUCCAGGGUGCGAGGGGUCCUUGAUGAUGAUACUGGCUUUCCGCUACAGUUGAACCAGAAUGUGCAGCUCUGAUCAGCAGGAGGAGAAAAGUCUGAGGGAGCAGCAGAGGAACAUUUUCAGCCGUUUGCACUCAGCUCAGCUACUACAGAGAAAAUGAUGAGCUCAACACACCUUACACACACACAAAAUACACAUUGAAAGCACCACAAACGAUAGCCUGAUAUCAGACAGAACUGUCACAUAAUAUUAAACAGAAGCUGUCAGCUGAGCUCUGUAGAGUGGGCAGUUAUAAUGAAGCACUUUAUUUGUAAGUUCAAGUUACUCUUCAUGUUUUUGGCCAGCAGAUGUCACCAAGAGGACUGUGUUGAAAUGCUUUGAGUAACGAACCCUUUUUCAAUAACAAUAAUAAUAAUAAUGCUUUAUUUAAAAGUAACAGUGCAGUUUAACAUAGUCCAAGUAUAAAACAUAAAACUGAUGUACUGCACAUGAGUUUAUAGCUAUUGCUAAUUUCCAACCAUUGUCCCUUGUUGUGCUUACAUUGCUUAUAAUACAAGCUUCAGUGUUUCAGAAAGCUUCAUUUGGCCAUCACUGAUAUCAAUAAAAUCCGUAAACUCUCUCCAUACUCUUUUACGUCCAUGCUACAGAGGUAGCCCCUCGUUUAGGAGUAAGGUCCUCGAUUUGUUUUGACUGGUCCUUUUGUUUGAAGCUACCUUUUCUCCCUGUGAAAUACAGCAGCUGGACCUUUAGCUAGCAACACACUGUUAGACAAACUGCACACAAACAUUUUGUGUGCUUUCCAAUUUUUGUUGAGCUGAUAAAAAUGCUGCAUUUGAAAUUAGCUGCCACUUAAAAACUAUUACUCCAUUUAUCCUCGCUCGUCUGUCUGUGUGGCUAGAUGCUGAAGUACUGUGACAGCAACGUAUGAGCGCUGCAGUCAUUCCAGUGUUGUGCCGAAAAAAACCCACUGGCCCACUUUAACCCCUGACUAUGGCCCACAGUUUUCUUUCUUUCAUUUUCAUGUGUCAUACUCUGGUGAUUAAUACACCAUCUGGAUUGCCUUUCAUGUGUUACUGUUUAAGCUCAAAUCAGUUAGUCGUUUGAUGCCUGCAGUGAUGAAAUAACUCCUCUCAAAGGCCUUACACCAAAAGUAACACAUCUGUUUUGAAAAUGUAAGGAGUAUAAAGUACAGAUUAUUUUUUUAAUGUCGGGAGUAAAAGUUUAAAAAAACAACAACCUUAGUUUACAAACAGACUCUGACAUUUUCCUUCACUGAACCAAGCUUGCCACUAUUACACUGGAUUUAUUAUCAUUGAAUAAACUAGCAAAUUAUAGAAAUAUAUGAUAGGAAACAGGAGAAAGAAAUAUAAGAGAGUAUAGACCUGGUAAACAUGUAUUACUAUUCUGAGUGUGUUAGCAUGCUAGCAUUAAUAUUUGUGUACAAGCAGGAGGGAUGGGCAGGAUUUUAGAGUGUUUGGUGCCACACUCCACCUUCAGGUUUAAAAUUAGUGUUAAUGGAGGGACUUUGAAGGUUCAGUUUGUUCAGCGACUGCAUUUCACUCACUGCCUGUGUUUGUAUCUCUGUCGCUGCAGGACCAACACAGACCGAAAAGUCAGCGCUCUCAGGAGGCCGACAAACCUCACAGAAGAAAGAGAGAGAAAAACUACAGCUGUGACGAGUGUGGGAAGGAUUUUUCUCGCAAAGCUUCACUAACAACGCUUUAAGUCAUGCACACUGGAGAGAGACCGUUCAGCUGUGACUUGUGUGGAAAGUCUUUUCCCUGGGAUAGUUGCCUAAGAAAACACCAACUCUUCCACAGGGGAGUUAAAGCGUACAGCUGUGAUCAGUGUGACAGAGCUUUUGAUCGCAGUUGCAGCUUACAGAAGCAUCUGGUUACCCACUCUGGAACUCAGGCAUAGAGCUGUGACAUUUGUGGAAAAACUUUCAGUCGGCGAGACAGCCGAAAUAGACACCUACGCAUUCACACCAGACAUGUUGUGUACUGGUGUGAUCAGCAUGGCAAACGGUUUAUAACAGAUGUACAGUUACAAAGCCACAUGUUUACCCACACUGAGGAGAAACCUUAUAAAUGUGACCUGUGUGAGAAGACUUUUAAAUCUCCACGUUACCUGAGACAACACCAACAGAUCCACACCAGAAAGAGACUCUACAAGUGCAGUUACUGUGAGGUCUCUCAGAUCAUCUGACCAGUCACUCCUUGCUGUCCCCAUGUCGAGACUGAAACACCGAGGGGACCGAGCUUUCGCUGUUGUGGCCCCCAAACUAUGGAACAAACUGCCCCUCCAUAUUAGAAGCAGAGCGACGCAGAUGGAUCCAGUUCUCAACCCUGUCAUCGCUGUGGUGGUGGGAAAGACUUUUGUUGUGACCUUUGUGGAAAAUCUUUCGGUCAUGCAAAGAGCCUAAAAAUACAUCAACGUAGACACACUGGAGAGAAACUGAAAUACUGCAAAGAAUGUGGGAGAAUCUUCACCAGAUCACAUGAGUUAAAACACCAUGAAGUCAUUCACAGUGGGGUUAAAAAGCACCUCUGUGAUCAGUGUGGGUCAUCGUUCACCACUGCAGGUGAGCUUAAAACACACAAAUGAGUCCACACAGGAGAGAAACCAUACAAGUGCACACACUGUGACAAAAGCUUCUCACAAUCAAGUAGUCGUAACCAUCAUGAACAUACCCACGUGGAAGGAAACUACAGCUGUGACCGGUGUGACAAGACUUUCAGGAAUCUCAGUUCAUACUCCGAACACAAACGAUCCCACGCUGCAGAUAAACUGUUUCACUGCUACAAAUGUGCAAAAACCUUCACUUCACUAUCUGUUCUGUGCAAACAUCAGCGUGAUCACGCGGGGCGGAAAUCAUUCCCAUCUCCGGAUCACGGUGAAUCUGGUGUCAGGGUCAGAAUUAAAACUGUUGAGAUCAGGCUCCACAGAGUUCAGCUGGAAUCUCAUGUAAAGAACUGAUGAGGCUGCUGUAAAUAUAAAUGUUCCCGUAGUUACAUCUUAAGCUUUCUAAACUCUUCUACUUUAGUGUUCUUAUCGAGUGGUUAGCUUUUUUUUGUUGGAAGAAGAAAUCUGUUGUUAUGUAAUCAAGUUUUUAUUGAAUGUAUUUUGAUCCAUGUGUUCUGUAGGUGUUCUUUGUUCAGGCUGUCUGUGUUAUGAAACGUUGCAACGGUUAAAUAAAAAAUCAAAAUGUU